GACGAACGCUGGCGGCGUGCUUAACACAUGCAAGUCGAACGGAAAGGCCCUGCUUUUGUGGGGUGCUCGAGUGGCGAACGGGUGAGUAACACGUGAGUAACCUGCCCUUGACUUUGGGAUAACUUCAGGAAACUGGGGCUAAUACCGGAUAGGAGCUCCUGCUGCAUGGUGGGGGUUGGAAAGUUUCGGCGGUUGGGGAUGGACUCGCGGCUUAUCAGCUUGUUGGUGGGGUAGUGGCUUACCAAGGCUUUGACGGGUAGCCGGCCUGAGAGGGUGACCGGCCAUAUUGGGCAUGAGAUACGGCCCAGACUCCUACGGGAGGCAGCAGGGGGGAAUAGUGCACAAUGGGAGGAAGCCUGAUGCAGCAACGCCGCGUGCGGGAUGACGGCCUUCGGGUUGUAAACCGCUUUCGCCUGUGACGAAGCGUGAGUGACGGUAAUGGGUAAAGAAGCACCGGCUAACUCCGUG
rnacentral:rRNA from 1 species